rnacentral:tRNA from 1 species
GUCGUUGUAGUAUAGUGGUGAGUAUUCACGCCUGUCACGCGAGUGACCCGGGUUCAAUCCCCGACAACGAUG